rnacentral:rRNA from 1 species
UACAGAGGGUGCAAGCGUUGUUCGGAAUUAUUGGGCGUAAAGCGCGUGUAGGCGGCAUUGCAAGUCGGGUGUGAAAGCCUUCAGCUCAACUGAGGAAGUGCGCCCGAAACUGCAGAGCUUGAGUGCCGGAGAGGGUGGCGGAAUUCCCCAAGUAGAGGUGAAAUUCGUAGAUAUGGGGAGGAACACCGGUGGCGAAGGCGGCCACCUG